rnacentral:rRNA from 1 species
AAAGUCUGACGGAGCAACGCCGCGUGAACGAAGAAGGUCUUCGGAUUGUAAAGUUCUGUGAUUCGGGACGAAAGGGUUUGUGGUGAAUAAUCAUAGACAUUGACGGUACCGAAAAAGCAAGCCACGGCUAACUACGUGCCAGCAGCCGCGGUAAUACGUAGGUGGCAAGCGUUGUCCGGAAUUAUUGGGCGUAAAGCGCGCGCAGGCGGUUUCUUAAGUCCAUCUUAAAAGCGUGGGGCUCAACCCCAUGAGGGGAUGGAAACUGGGAAGCUGGAGUAUCGGAGAGGAAAGUGGAAUUCCUAGUGUAGCGGUGAAAUGCGUAGAGAUUAGGAAGAACACCGGUGGCGAAGGCGACUUUCUAGACGAAAACUGACGCUGAGGCGCGAAAGCGUGGGGAGCAAACAGGAUUAGAUACCCUGGUAGUCCACGCCGUAAACGAUGGAUACUAGGUGUAGGAGGUAUCGACCCCUCCUGUGCCGGAGUUAACGCAAUAAGUAUCCCGCCUGGGGAAGUACGAUCGCAAGAUUAAACUCAAAGGAAUUGACGGGGGCCCGCACAAGCGGUGGAGUAUGUGGUUUAAUUCGACGC